rnacentral:rRNA from 1 species
UACGAAGGGGGCUAGCGUUGCUCGGAAUCACUGGGCGUAAAGGGCGCGUAGGCGGCCUGAUCAGUCGGGGGUGAAAGCCUGUGGCUCAACCACAGAAUGGCCUUCGAUACUGGCGGGCUUGAAUUCGGGAGAGGGAUGUGGAAUUCCAGGUGUAGCGGUGAAAUGCGUAGAUAUCUGGAGGAACACUGGUGGCGAAGGCGGCAUCCUGGACCGACAUUGACGCUGAGGCGCGAAAGCCAGGGGAGCAAACGGG